rnacentral:lncRNA from 1 species
CCCUUUUAUUUUUGCUUUGCAUCAUGUCAUCAUGCCAUCAUCUCAUAAAUCUUUUGCAACUCACCUAAAUAAAUGGCAUGGAUCUUUGAUCCAUUUAAACCAAGGGAAUUCACAUGGUGAUUCUCUUUACAACAUAUCCUCCCAAUAUUAGGGAGCUAUUUUAAAUAUUUCUUUAAUUGGGAUAUCACCAUAACACACUUGCAAAUUAUCUCAAUGCCUUUGUUAUCUUAAUUCUUGGUCUCCAACCUUGCCAUAUAUUCUUUCAUCAUAUUCCGGAGCUCCACCAAAAAUCCAAACAUUUUUUGGACCUUCCCAACCCUCACUUCCUAUUCAAAUCAUUUGAAUUUAAAUCAAAUGAGUUUGAAUUUAAAUCUUUCAGUCAUAGCCUUUUUCUAUUUUCUCGGAAAAAGCACAUUUUUGUGAGUCCAGAAAAAUUAUCCGCGCGUCCAACUUCGUCCCCUAACCUCUCUUUCUUUUCUUCCUUAUCUCUGUUUUUUUUCUCUUUAGAGUGAGAGAGAGAGAGGGUGCCCAACAGGCCAUUUAGGCCCAGCUGCACCUCAGGCCAGCCGCAGCCCACUUGGGCCUCCCUAGGCCCACUCUCGCGCCGGCCUACCUAGGCUACCCGCACCGAGGCCAGCCCGCACGCCCCGUAACCCUAGGCCUCGAUCCCACUUCUCCCUCUCCCUCGUUUCCUUCCUCUCGCGCCGCCAGGGANNNNNNNNNNUGUGACGCCCCGAGACCGAUGCUCGAGAAGACUUCCAUAUGUUCCGGGUUUCGCCGUGUGUUUCAUUUGUGCCUGCCCUUUUAUUUUUGCUUUGCAUCAUGUCAUCAUGCCAUCAUCUCAUAAAUCUUUUGCAACUCACCUAAAUAAAUGGCAUGGAUCUUUGAUCCAUUUAAACCAAGGGAAUUCACAUGGUGAUUCUCUUUACAACAUAUCCUCCCAAUAUUAGGGAGCUAUUUUAAAUAUUUCUUUAAUUGGGAUAUCACCAUAACACACUUGCAAAUUAUCUCAAUGCCUUUGUUAUCUUAAUUCUUGGUCUCCAACCUUGCCAUAUAUUCUUUCAUCAUAUUCCGGAGCUCCACCAAAAAUCCAAACAUUUUUUGGACCUUCCCAACCCUCACUUCCUAUUCAAAUCAUUUGAAUUUAAAUCAAAUGAGUUUGAAUUUAAAUCUUUCA